rnacentral:rRNA from 1 species
UACGUAGGGUGCAAGCGUUGUCCGGAAUUAUUGGGCGUAAAGAGCUCGUAGGCGGUCUGUCGCGUCGGACGUGAAAACCCAGGGCUCAACCCUGGGCCUGCGUUCGAUACGGGCAGACUAGAGUUCGGUAGGGGAGGACUGGAAUUCCUGGUGUAGCGGUGAAAUGCGCAGAUAUCAGGAGGAACACCGGUGGCGAAGGCGGGUCUCUGGGCCGAAACUGACGCUGAGGAGCGAAAGCGUGGGGAGCGAACAGG